GGACAGUAUGUUUGAUAUCAUGGUAUGGGAGUCCCAUUGAGAAGAAUCUCUAUCAUGUGCUGCGUUUUGCUUUAGGAACUACCAAAUGAGUGGAGGAGAAAUUAGGGUCGGCUUCUAGAUGAGAAAGUUGCCUGUUUCAAAGUACGAUUCUCAUGUCCUUUGAAGGACAACUAGAUAUGAUAAGGGAUGCUAUCAAGGGGAACACGAAAUCGAUACCACCAGGCUGUGAGAUUCGUGUAAGGACCAUGAUGAAUCUAAAAGUUCACCAUGUAGUGCACUAGAUGCGAGCAGAAACUCUUUAGUUUCCACUGCAUAAUGGAUCUAAACUGCAACCUACUUGGAGAUGGUCAAGUUGCGAGCAGUGAGUGUGG
rnacentral:lncRNA from 1 species